rnacentral:lncRNA from 1 species
AGGGCACCCCUCAAUCUCUAUGAUAAUUUCUUGUCUUCUCCAGGGCCAGGGGGGCCUUGCUUAUAUAGUCCUCCACUUCUAUGCGUUUUUGGGUCGAUAGGCGAGGUGGUACUAUGUUUUCCUUGAUCCAAUAGGUCGGUGGAACGUCGUGUGCGAAGAGAGUCCGGAACGGAGUCCAGAGGGGGGCGGGCGCCCAGGUCCUCAGGGCGGGUGCCCUGGGCCUGGCCCCUUUCGGGCUCCGCUUCCUUCCCGUGGCUUCUAGAGUCUUCUAGAUGGUAGAAAAUUGCGCGGUGGGUUGAUAUCUCUAUGUAAUCCCGACAUGUGGGCCUUUCUUCCUUAUUUCCUGAUAACCCCCUGCAGAAAUAGACAAACACCAAAACUCGUGGAAUUCUGUCAGAUAAAACCCUAAGUCUAGAUGUUGAUUUCAUUUGGAUCCUUUUCUUUGUUUAUUUGAUAAUUAAAUUUGAUACUUAAGGACCGUCAACAAACUCCCCCAAGCUUACCUCUUGCUCGUCCCUGAGCAAGGAUAGACUCAGCUAUGGAUCAUAAAUUGUUGCAAUAUUUUUAAAAAUUGAUGUACACAUGCUUUUUAAAUAAGAUCUCAUCUCUGAGUUAGAGUAAACUGUCAAGACUUAAAACUUACUUACUUUACCUUUCACCAUGGGACUUGUAACCGUCACUUCUGUCUUGAGUGGUUAAAAGAUAGAACAGUCUAGCCAAGUGCCAUGUCUCUUAUUCUUGAUCAGCUAUAGCUCUAGAGUUUUUGCAGAUUUUCAAAUAAAACUCAGAGAUUCCUUGUAUGAUUCUCUCAGAUCUCUCUUUUGUGGUAUUUUUGGAUCCUUACCAAGGCAGUAAUGGGAUAUGCCUUCUCUCAAUAUAUGUAGUAUUUGUGGUAUGAAGCAUAGUGACAUUGUCUUCUCUCUCACCCUACUCUAAUAAGGCUUUAAUAUCUGGAGCUCAUAGGUGGGAGAUAAAGUAUACAUACUUACAAGACAUUUAUUGCAUAGUCAAACCAUGGAUCUAAAGAAACAAAUCAAUAAGCCAAAUCAAGAUGUGCAUGUGUGGCGAAUGAAUGGUGUAUGGUGAUGAUGGUGAUAACAAUGGUGGUGGAAGUCUAAUUCUACUUUGCUCUUUGAGGGGAUACAUACCUUCCUUGCUUUUGAAACUUUAUGAGGAGAAUGAGAUGCUCUUCUUUUUUUUUCUCAGGUGGGUAUCUUGCACCCCUAAUUCUACUGUCGGACACUUGUCCAUUUUUACCUCUCGUCUCACUUUUUCUUUUCUUUCGAGGUUCCGAGCACUUGCUCCUUUUUAUUUCCUCGUAUCUCUUUUUUUUCUUUUCUUUCUUUUUUUUAGAGCACUCAUCUCCUGAAAUAAUAUAGCAAGUGGUAGUAACCAGGAUAACUCGAGCAUUUAUUUCACAGGGAAUAACAGGGAUAGGAUAAUAUUUUUGGAUAUUCUCUCCUGGAUUAGGAGUAGAAUAAUUUUUGGGUGAAUGUGGAGAUGGAAAUGAGUGGAUAUAUUUGGAUGGUACUUCCGGAGUAGAAGUAGCAUGUAUGAGUGAACGUGCAAGUGAAUCUUGAUUUAACCAUAUGACAAGCUCCUAAGGGUCUACACAGCUUGACCACACUCAAUGCUCAUAAGCAGAAAAAAGUAAAUAUGUGGCUCAAAGUCUAGCAAGCAUGUAUAUAUGGCUGUGGUAGGAAUUUAAACUCUCAUCAUAUAGGAACUCAUCAUGUGUUAUUUUAAAGAUUUUUAAAGAUAAAAUUCUCCAGAAUUCUAGCAUCUCUAGGAACAGAUAAACAGCAGCUCAACCUUCCCAUAUCGUAUCCGUUAACAACUUAGACUUCAGAUCAAGUUUUUAUCCCACAAGUUUAGGUCUAGAGCAAGCCUUAAAUUAUAACAGUUAUAUCUAAACUCGAGAGAGAACUUCAAAUUUGCAAAUUAGGCAGAGCAACUAUUCAUCAUAUCCAUGCUUAAGUUUUAUUAUUAAGAUUCAGAUUAGCAUAGCCACUUUAUUAAACACACUAAGCAAAAUAUAUAUAAGCAUAAAAUCUUUAUUUGGUUUUUUAUAGUUAUGUGUAUUUAUAUUCUAAUAUAGUAUAAGUAUAAAGAUAGAUAGAAAUACUUAUCGUGAUAAAUGGGGGUGCUCUCCCCCAAGCUGAAUUUUGACGUAAUUUCUCUUGAUGUAGCUAGCACGUGGCAGAGGUGUGUUUGAAAGUCAGCAGUAUUUUGACAGCGAUUAGAAUGUCCUCCGUCUGCUAGUCUUCUUGAUUCUUAAAUUCUGUGGAGCUCAAAUAGACAACAAAGCUUGUGGAACUGAUUAAGUGUUAGCAUAAAUAUCUAGCCUGUAUCAUGUUGAGACUCCUUAAUAAAUAUUACUCCCUGUUUUUAUAUUUUUGUUUUUAUAAAGUAGAAAAAUAUUUAUUUUAUUUUUAUGCCACCACAGUGAAUGUACUUAUGGGUUUUAUGCCACUCGUCUACUCACAUGGGGCUUACAGUUUUUUUUUCACAUUUUUAUUUUCUUUCUAGGAUAAUACGAACAUGAUUAACUAAGUAAACUAUUUGAAAUAAUUAAAAGGGAAAGGAUAACUACCAAGUUUACCUCUUGGCAAGGCGUUCGGUGUUUUUAAGUCCUCCGAAUGGGACUCCUUGUGUUUUCAGUCAUCCUGGGAUUCGCUAGGUGGCGUAGUCGGUGAUUCCGGUGGCGCCUCCUCUUUGUGUAUAACUAUGUUCUCUUUCCACACCUGACUCGGUGCUACGGUCUCCUCAGGACAGUUCUGUUCAAGUUGUAUGUCUUCAGUCCUUAUCACUUCUCCUUCGUAGUCUACCCAUCCGUCCUUGAUGAUUUUACUCCUCUGGUUGCGGUUGCGUUGUCUUCUUCUUGUCCUGACCUGCUUAGAGUCUUCAACUAUAUAGUUAGGGUCAAUAAAAUAGCGGCGUACCUUCUUAGAGGGGAAGUGCAUGUGGACUUCUCCGGUUCCAAUGUAGAUGAUAACUUUGAUAGUGUUGAUGAACGGUCUUCUAAGGAUGGUGGGUGGAUCAUACUCGUCUUCUCCCAUGUCAAUGACCUGAAAAUCAUCUGGAGCUGAAUAUAUUGGUUGUAGGGGCAUGGUUCCAUGCAAGAGCUGAUAAGUGACUACGGCCAUUAUGUUGUCGUCAGAUCCGGUGUCGUAGAGUGUCUUCUAAAAAGAGUAUCCAUUGUUUGUGCAUUUGAUUCUUGGAACACCAGGGUCGUCCUUCUUGAUCAAGAAAGGUGACUUGUGUCGACGAUCUUGACCUCCUUGAACUGCAGUGACCAUCUUAGCUGACUCUAUCCACAUUUGCUUGUUCUUGUUUCCUCCUGUUGGUCCUCUUUCUUGGUUGAUGUCAGGGUUGCUCUGAAGUUUGUGUCGUCUUGUUCUUGAAGGAAAGUCUCCUUCUUCCCCUUGAUGUAGAGACUGAUCUUGGCAGCAUUAGCGUAGAUGACAGCUCUGGUGUUUAGGAAUGGCCUCCCUAAGAUGAUGGGUGCCCUCUCCUCAGUGCCAGUCUCUAUCACCACGAAGUUUGCUGGAGUGUGCAAGGUACCAACUCGGACAUAGAGGUUCUUCAAUAUUUCCUUUGGGAAACUAAGUGUCUGAUCUCCAUUGUGUUUGUGCUCGUAGAUCCCGGUUCUUCACUUGAUGGAAUCUGGGAGUUGUAAAACGCCUUCACGUUUCUCAAAAUGUGUCCUGCUCAUAGAGACAAGGCAGAGAUCAAGUGCAUGGGCCCUGUUGGUGGAAAACACCAACAGAACCAAAAGUGUAUUUGUUCUUCUCUAACCUUAAGCAUAGUGAGCAAGACAAAGUUGAUGGAUCAUGAGUGUAGCAUUUAAAACAUUUGUUAGAUCAGAUGGCUCAACCUAAUGGAAAGAUAAUCUAUCUAUAUUUAUGUUUUGUUUAUAUCUUUCAAAGAUUGAAUGUGCAAUACUUUAGCUUAUAUGAUUAGGAGUGUGGGAUCACGAAGGUAGUACUAAGAACAAAGAUUAAAGGACUAAACAUGUUGAAUUAAUUGGGUUGGUAAAUUUGGAGUUAUAAAUCAUACAUGUUUGUCUCUUUAUUUAUGUGAAUGCCAGAACCAAGGAGAAGCUUAUAAAAGUGUUGGUCAAGUACCUUAAGAUGUUACCUUACUUGAAGAGUGAUGGUACAGUAUCACCUUGUGGAAGCUUUCCUUUCUUAGCGGUUGUGUAUCGUGUUUGUGGCACUCUCCAUGAAUCAUCUCUUUAUGAUGAAUGAGCUAUGUCCUUCUUGUGUAAAUUGUUAAACUUCAUGUGUCUCCUUUAUCUCCAAUGAGUUUGUAUCUCAGGACUUCCCAGGUUGAUAUUGAAAGUUUUCCUGCAGGGGUUAGUCCAACAAAAUAUCCCAUAUCUACUAUAGCAUACUAUCGUCUCAAAAAUCAACCUAGACACCAUGUCUAAUUUGAUUUAGGAGGGCAUUUUAACCUAAGCACCAUGCUUAAUUUAAAAAUCCUUUGGAAGUGAGAUCAUCAUUCCUAAACUAAGCACCACGCUUGAUUUAAGAGAUAAAUGAAACUACUCCAAACCUAGACAUAUACUAAAGCAAAUAAAGGUAGCAUGAGAGCAUUUAUAGCGAUCUACUCAAGUGGAGGUGAAGUAGUGUAAUUAGUACUUAACAAAUUGAGCAUCUCUCAAAGGUAGGGACAACCAACGUAGCAACAUGGCAAAGGAUGUUUUUAUGUAAAGUACUCCCCCAAGCUUGAAUUUUGCAAAAUUCAAGUUUGGAUGAAUUUAAUUCAAUGUUGUGUGAUGGUUGGUUGGACAUACCUUGUGCUUGUUAUUCAUCCGAUCUUCUUGCUCCAAUCCUGGAAAGGUUAGUGACAAGAAUACCCGAAGGAAUAUUUCUACAAUAUGCUCAAUACACAAGGCAAUGUUGCAAAUAAGUGCUUGUUUUAGGACACUAAGCUUGUCCUUGGGAAACCAUCAAUUAACUCAACGAGAUCUGCAAUAUUUAUUAUAGACAUAUGCAUCGACAACCACUCUUUUAAAGUUUUUAUAAAUAGAAAAGAAGAGAGGGUUGGAUAUCUCAAAUGUGACAAGGAUGGAGAGACUAAUUGAUUGGAGAGAUGUUUUAUAUGAGCAAGGACUGGGUGAGGUAUUUAUGAAAUAACUUUCAUGCUCACUGUUGUUUCUCUCAUUCUCAAACUCCAAGGAUGUUUCUUCAUGAAUGUUUAAAAUUCCUCUAGGAUUGUCUCUCAAGUUUGUUUUAUCUAUCCAUUCAAUGGUGAUAGCACAUGGAUUUUUAAUGCCCUCUAGCCAUUGAUGCUGCUCUUCUCGAUCCUCCUUGUAGUCUUGGUGACUCUUAUGAAUGGGAUGUCUAGAUAGAUUCAUAGGAUUAUCGGGAGGUUCAAGAGAAAAAGCGUAGUAGAAAUUAUUAGGCUCAAGGAUGGGUUGGAUAGCCGAAUCAUGGGAUUGGAAUGUUUGGAAAUCGGCUAUUGAAACUUCCUUUCCUCGUCUGGGAGAUGAUUCCUUCUCUAUCUCUAUGAUUUUUCUAUGAAGACUAGUACAAGAAGGAUGUCCACAAAUGAAGACAUACCUUCCUUUACUAAUAGAUAAAGAAAGAAAGACUCUACCAAAGGUUAUAUGAUUAAGACCAAUGUGAAAAUAUCGAGAAAAAACAUGGUCUUGUAGGGCUAGGUCUAAACCAGAAUUUAUAAAAAGAUUAAUAGAUUCCCUAGGUGUAGCUAAAAGUGCAUUAUCUUUUUGAUUAAUAGAUAGGACCUCGGCUAUAGAAAAGGGUUGGUUUUGACCUAUUGCAAUCAACUCCGGACACAGAUCAUAAUUAGGGGCAGAACGUGUUGACUCCCAUGGUCUAUGGAUGGUCUCCGAAGGUGCAAAGAAUUCAAUAAUAGGUAUGGAAUUUAAGUUAUCCAUAAAGAUAAAAAUAAAAAGAUAAAAGAAUAAAAGUAUAAAAGUAUAAUACAAGAUAAUAGCAAGACUCAAAGUUAUCUCAGCAAACCGUCUUUCUCCCCGGCAACGGCGCCAGAAAUGCUUGUUGAUAUUUGGUAACGCAAUUAGAAAAUGAUCCGCAAGCGCACGGAUAUCGGUGAGCAUUUCACCCGGGAGGUUUUCCAGAGUAUCGUAUUUAUAUUUUUACCACUGGGAGAAAGGGUGCAUCUGACUAACCAAAUCUAUUGCUACUACCCCUUUAGGCUACAAAGAAUGUCUCUCGAUGUGAGUGAUGUAUAGAGAAGACUACAACCGUAGUCUCAUUCUAACCUUGGUAAGGAUAAUCUACUGUUCUAUUGGGGAGGCUCACGGAAUCUAGACAAUACAAAGGAUGUUCGACCCGCACCUAUAACCCUACCCGUCCUGCUAACGAGAUGUGAUCUACAAAGGUAACUCGGAAAUGUCACGUUCCUCGCUACUACCACGGUCCAGCUAGUCAGGGGAUAUCUAUGAGUACCCUAGCCUAAACACCACGUUUACGCUAACAAGUGAUUACUCUAAUACUCAACCGGAAGAGGAUUGAAGUAAACUCAUAAACCAAAGAACAAUAAAACAAGAACUUACUAGUAUUAGAUGUCGAAUUACUGAAGAAUCUUAGAAGCAAGCCUCGGGUUAGGAGACUUGAUCCCGUAGGUACAACUCGGAGUAGACACCGACAGGCCGGCCUUCCUCCGAUCCACACCUCCACUCUAUCUCUAUCAAUCUAGUAGAAACUAGAAGAUCUAUUUCUACUUUACAUUGGAUGCUAAGCCUAAAAAGAAAUAUUAUUUAGAGAAGAGGUUUUCCUUCGAGGGCACCCCUCAAUCUCUAUGAUAAUUUCUUGUCUUCUCCAGGGCCAGGGGGGCCUUGCUUAUAUAGUCCUCCCCUUCUAUGCGUUUUUGGGUCGAUAGGCGAGGUGGUACUAUGUCUUCCUUGAUCCAAUAGGUCGGUGGAACGUCGUGUGCGAAGAGAGUCCGGAACAGAGUCCAGAGGGGGGCGGGCGCGCAGGUCCUCAGGGCGGGCGCCCUGGGCCUGGCCCCUUUCGGGCUCCGCUUCCUUCCCGUGGCUUCCGGAGUCUUCUAGAUGGUAGAAAAUUGCGCGGUGGGUUGAUAUCUCUAUGUAAUCCCGACAUGUGGGCCUUUCUUCCUUAUUUCCUGAUAACCCCCUGCAGAAAUAGACAAACACCAAAACUCGUGGAAUUUUGUCAGAUAAAACCCUAAGUCUAGAUGUUGAUUUCAUUUGGAUCCUUUUCUUUGUUUAUUUGAUAAUUAAAUUUGAUACUUAAGGACCGUCAACAGCCACCACGAAGGUCGCCGGCGUUCUUCAAUCUCGUGUUUUUGGCCACCAAACUCCGAACCAAGCGCACGGGUCGAAAGAGGAGGGAGAGGCGAGCUCACCUACGCCGAAAACAAGGACGAAGAAGACGCGGGGACGGAGCAGUGCUCGGUAUGGCGGAAGACAACUCGGCGAGAUCUGAAACUCGAGAUUUACGAAGAUAGGGCACGGCUUGGAUGAUUUGGAUGUGAAAAGGGAGAUGCGGGGCGGCUCAGGGGCUUUAUAGGUGUCUUAUGCGGGAAGUAAUCCUGUCCAAAUCGGGAUUGAUUCGCUCAGAUUUCCUUCGGCGGUGUCCUGCUCAGGUACGCGCGUUGGGGAAGAAAAGAGGGAGGGAGAGGAGGCUGACACGCGGGACCCAUCUGGCGGUGAAGGGGGAGGUGGGACCCAGACGACGGUGAGAGAAGAGGCGGGUGGGAAGCUGGGUUGCUUGCCGGGCCGAGCGCAGGGUGGAAGGGGGAGUGGGCCGCGUGCGAGGGAGGGGGAAAAACAGGCCGGGGGUGGGUCUGGCUGGGUUUACCUUUUCUUUUUUUUUCCUUUUUUGUUUUAUUUUUCCUAUUUCUUCUUUGUUUUCUAAAGUCUUUUUGAAAAGAGAUUUUAAAUCCUUUUGGGAGAAAUACAAAAUACAUAGACAAAAAGCAAGCAAGCAAUUAAAUAAAUAAAUUAAUUCCAACAUGAAUGCACCACCAUGUUUCUAAACUUAUAAUAAAUUUUAAUUUUGACCAAAACUAUUUUAUUUACUAGAUUAAAUGCUCACCAAAAAUGCUUAAUUAAAUCAAAUUAAUUCCUAUUAAUUGAAAACAAAUUUUUGGGUGUUACAAAUUCUACCCCGUGUUGACGGUCCUUAAGUAUCAAAUUUAACUAUCAAAUAAACAAAGAAAAGGAUCCAAAUGAAAUCAACAUCAAGACUUAGGGUUUUAUCUGACAGAAUUCCACGAGUUUUGGUGUUUGUCUAUUUCUACAGGGGGUUAUCAGGAAAUAAGGAAGAAAGGCCCACACGUCGGGAUUACGUAAAGAUAUUAACGUGCCGCGCAAUUAUCUUACAUCUAGAAGACUCCAGAAGCCACGAGACCGAAGCGGAGGCGAAACGGGGCCAGAGACAGGGCGCCCGCCCUGUCCUACUGGGCGCCCGCCCACCUCCUGUGGCCAAUCACGCUCAAUCUCGCGGAUUAUGUUCCACCGACCUAAAGGAUCAAGAAUAACCGUUCAAUCAAUGUCGGUUUGAUCCGACGGCCCAGGUUCACUUGAGGGGACUAUAAAACCAGACCCCCUGGCCCCUGGAGGAGACAACCCCUUGAUCAUUAUUCAUUAUUCAUAGAAAGAGCAAAAGCUAGGGUUUAGAGAUGAGAGCUCUCCUCUCUUCUCUAAACUAGAGUAGAUCUAGAUAGUAGCGAGAUGGAGAGCGAAGGAGGAUUAGAGGAGAGGCCGGCCUGUCGGUUCUUCCUCCGGUUGUACUUCGCCAUGAUCAAGCUCUAAUCAAGCUUGCUCAUGGGAUGACUCUGGUAAUCUACUUCUAAUUCAUUAUGCAAUUACUAAUCAUGUAUGUUCUAGUUCACAACUCUUUUGAGUACUUCUAAUCUAUAGGACCCUAUAGGUUAGAGUUGUAGUAUAGGUGUAAGCGUGGUGCUUAGACCUAGAUUACUUGUGGAUAUCCCCUGACUAGCUGGAUCGUGUGGUAGGCCGCGUAGGUGACAGUUACGUUGGUCCCCUGUAGUCCACCUCUUGUUAGCAGGACGGGUAGGGUUUAUCGGCCUAUGGAUAAGCAUCCUUUGUGGUGUACUCUUAUCACAUGGUUCGUCCCAGACAUAGACAUACCCCUUUGAAGUAGAGAAACCAUAGUUAUCCUCUCUAUUCUGCUACCAUCGCCUAUAUACUAGAAUUGCUCUACUCUCUAUUCCCAUAUUAUCACUCACUGUUAUCUUACCUUUAAUAUUGUUCUUAUUCGAUUCUACUAUCUUUCCUAUUCACACCAAUUUACUUAUCUUGGUUAAGUUAGAGCGUAGAUCAGUUCUUCCGUUUCCCUGUGGAUACGAUAAAACCUUUAACCGGGUAAAAGCUUCAACGGUAUCCGUGCGCUUGCGGAUUAUCUGUGUGCGUAUAAAUACCAUAGUACACUCUAGUGCCACGCUGCGGAUGACAACCUAGUAUUCAAGUGGUGUUAGCAAGUGUCAACAAGCAUUUUUGGCGCCGUUGCCGGGGAAACGGUUGCUGAGUUGACUACGAACUAGUUUAAUCAUUUUAUAAAAAAUAAAUAAAUAAAUAAAUAAAUAUAUUUUCCUUUUAUCCUUUGCCUCAUCUCUGCUAUUCUUUCUUCUUAUCUAAUCCUUGAUCUCUGGUCUAUUAUGAAUUCAAAUAUGUCUAUCUAUGAAUUUCAUUUCAGAAGAAGUUCUUUGCCCAAAACUUUCGAUUCCAGAAGAAGUUCUUCUAAUUCACUUUUUUGAGGGCCUUAGUAGGAAAAAUAAGCAAACCCUUCAUGCGGCCUCUAGAGGAUCUUUCCACCACCUAUCCGCUAGUAAAGCUUGGAAUUUGAUUGAUUUAAUGAGCGGAAAGUCUCCUAGCUUUUAUAUCCCUGAGAAAGAGACAGUACCAGUUCCUAGACAAGAAGAAGAAGUUUUGAUAGCCAGAUCACAACCACUUCAAUUCCAAACUUUAGCUAUCGAUCCUAAACCAUCAAUACCCCAAAAUUCUUCAAGGGAGGGAGGAAUUCCGAACUUAAAUCUUUCAGAUACUAAUGGUUUAGACUUUUAGUUCCAUAAGAGACCUUCAAGCAGGGAUAAUUCAAAUCCUCGCAAUAAUGGUUCUCUUAGAGAAUGUCCUGGUUCCUGUUAUGAAGAAGUCGAGGAUGACAUAUCAAGUGAAGGAGAGCUAAGCCAUAUUGAAAAUUCUAACACCUCCCCUUUCCUGAUUACAAGUUCUAAAUGGCUAGAAUGUGUAGAAUGGAUGGAUAAGGAAGAAGCCUUAAUGAAUUCUUACUUUGGAUCAAUUUCAAAUGGUGAGUUCUUGACUCCCUUUGAAGAUGGGAUUCAUCCAACUAUAGAAGAGGACAUAAGUGAGACCAAUCCAAGAGAAACUCUGAACAUUCAGAUUGGAGACGAAGAUAACAUUAAUGAGGAUGGAAUUUAUUUCAUAGCCACUUUGUUUACUCCAUGCUCAUAUGCAAUAUCUUCCCAAUCUAUUGGUCUCUCCAACAUCACCACAUUUGAGAUCUCCAACCCCCUCUUCCUUUCUAUUUAUAAAAACUUUAAAAGGGCGGUUGUCGAUGCAUAUGUCUAUAAUAAAUAUUGCAGAUCUCGUUGAGUUGAUCUAGAUAUAGGUUGGCGUCAGAGGGGAAACCACUUCGCCAACAUAAACUGAUGGUUUCCCAAGGACAAGCUUAGUGUCUUAAAAUAAGCAUUGAUCAGAUCGUAACAUGAGCUUUUAAUUAUUUACAACAUUACCUGGUGUAUUGAGCAUAUAAGGAUAAUCGUAAAAAUAUUCCUUCGGGUAUUCUUGUCACUAACCUUUCUAGGAUUGGAGCAAGAAGAUUGGAUGAAUGACAAGCACAAGGUAUGUCCAACCAAUCAUCAUAUAACAUUGAAUUAAAUUCAUCCAAACUUGAAUUUUGCAAAAUUCAAGCUUGGGGGAGUACUUUACAUAAAAACAUCCUUUGCCAUGUUGCUAUGCUGGUUGUCCCUACCUUUGAGACAUGCUCAAUUUGUUAAAUACUAAUCACACUACUUCAUCUCUACUUGAGUAGAUCUCUAUAAAUGCUGUCAUGCUACCUUUGUCUAUUUACUAGCAAGUGUUGGUUUGGAAGUACUCGCCAUACUUCCAUUGGCAUUUAAAUUAAGCAUGGUGCUUAGGUUAAAUAGCCUUCCUUAAUCUGAUUAGACAUGGAGUCUAGUUCGGUUAUUGAACUAAAAUUGCUUGUGUAGACAUUGGUAUAUUUUUGUCGGACUAACCCCUGCAGAAAAACUUUCAAUAUCGAUUUGGGAAGUCCUGAGAUAAACUCACAUCAGAGACGAAGAGAGUGACACAUGAAGUUUAACAAUUUGCACAAGAAGGACAUAGCUCAUUCAUCAUAGAGAUAUGAUCCAUGGAGGGUGCCAUGAACACGAUGCACAACCGCUAAGAAAGGAAAGCUUCCACAAGGUGAUACUGUACCAUCACUUUUCAAGCAAGGUAACAUCCUAAGGUACUUGACUAUCACUUUUAUAAGCUUCUCCUUGGUUCUGGCAUUCAUAUAAAUAAAAGAGACAAACGUGUAUGAUUUACAACUCUAGAUUAACCAACCCAACUGAUUCAACAUGUUUAGUCCUUUAAUCCUUGUUCUUAGUACUACCUCCAUGAUCCCACACUCCUAAUCAUAUGAGCUAAAAUGUUACACAUUCAAUCAUUGAGAGAUAUAAAGAAAAAGACAUAUACAUAGAUAGAUUAUCUUUCCAUAAGGUUGAGCGAUCUGAUCUGACAAAUGUUAUAAGUGCUACACUCAUGAACUUAUCAUCCAUCAACUUUGUCUUGCUCACUACGCUUAAGGUUAGAGAAGAACAAAUACACUUUUGGUUCUGUUGGUGUUUUCCACCAACAGGGCCCAUGCACUUGAUCUCUGCCUUGUCUCUAUGAGCAGGUACACUACGAGCACAAACACACUGAGCAAGAUACUGCUAACACCUCACUUCGAACUGCUGGGCAAACGAAGAACAUGGGUGACACCGUAUUAAAAGGUGCAGACAUCAAGGUCCGCACCUGAAUCAAAUGACGCACCUAAAGAAUGAACACGGUGAGAAGUCUUGUCAAGAAGACUUAAAACAUUGAACCCUCGCCGAAAGGUAAGAUUGGUAGUUAUCCAUAUUUAUCCUUUCUGCAUUCUCUUUUCCCUUUAAUUAUUUACUUUCCUUAAAUAGAUUUUUAGUUAAUCAUGCUAUCUUGAAAAGAAAAUAAAAAUGUUAAAAAAUACUAAGCCCCAUGUGAGUAUACGAGUAGCAUAAAACCCAUAAGUACCUUCACUGUGGUGGCAUAAAAAUAAAAUAAAUAUUUCUUUUCUACUUUAUAAAAUAAAAAUAUAAAAAGAGGGAGUAAUAUUUAUUGAGGAAGCUCAACAUGAUGAAGGCUAGAUAUUUAUGCUAACACUUAAUUAGUUCCACAAGCUUUGUUGUCUAUUUGAGCUCCACAGAAUUUAAGAAUCAAGAAGACUAGCAGACGGAGGACAUUCUAAUCGCUGUCAGAAUGCUGCUGACUUUCAAAUACACCUCUGCCACCUGCUAGCUACAUCAAGAGAAAUUACGUCAAAAUUUAGCUUGGGGGAGAGCACCCCCAUUUAUCUCGCUAAGUAUUUCUACCUAUCUUUAUACUUAUAUUAUAUUAGAAUAUUAAAAUACAUAAACUAUAAAAAAAAACCAAAUAAAGAUUUUAUGCUUAUAUAUAUAUAUACUUUUCUUAGUUUGCUAAAUAAAUAAAUAAAGUUUGCUAUGAAUCUUAAUAAUAAAACUCUAGCAUGGAUAUGAUGAAUAGUUGCUCUGCCUAAUUUGCAAAUUUGAAGUUCUCUCUCAAGUUUAGACAUAACUGUUAUAAUUUAAAGCUUGCUCUAGAUCUAAACUUGUGGGAUGAAAACUUGAUCUGAAAUCUAAGUUGUUAACGGAUAUGAUAUGGGAAGGUUGAGCUGCUGUUUAUCUAUUCCUAGAGAUGCUAGAAUUCUGGAGAAUUUUAUCUUUGAAAAAUCUUUAAAAUGUUGCAUGAUGAGUUCCUGUAUGAUGAAAGUUUAAAUUCCUACCACAGCCAUAUAUACAUGCUUGCUAGACUUUGAGCCACACAUUUAUUAUUUACUGCUUAUGAGCAUUGAGUGUGGUCAAGCUGUGUAGACCCUUAGGAGCUUGUCAUGUGGUUAAAUCAAGAUUCACUUGCACGUUCACUCAUAUAUAUGCUACUUCUACUCCGGAAGUACCAUCCACAUAUAUCCAUCCAUUUCCAUCUCCAGAAUCACCUAAAAAUAUUCUACUCCUAAUUCGGGAGAGAAUAGCCAAAAACAUCUGUGUUUUUUCCUUGUGAAAUAAAUGAGUGCUCUACCACUUGCUAUAUUAUCUCAAGAGAUGAGUGCUCUGAAAAAAAAAGAAGAAAAAAAAAGAGAAUAAAAAAAUAAACGAGGAAAUAAAAAGGGGCAAGUGCCCGGAACCUCGAAAGAAAAGAAAAAAAAGUGAGACGAGAGGUAAAAAUGGAUAAGUGUCCGACAGUACAAGAUACCCACCUGAGUGGAAAGAAAAAGAAGAGCAUCUCAUUCUCCUCAUAAAGUUUCAAAAAGCAAGGAAGGUAUGUAUCCCCUCAAAAGAGCAAAAGUAGAAUUAGACUUUCACCAUUGUUAUCACCAUCAUCACCAUACACUAUUCAUUCGCCACACAUGCACAUCUUGAUUUGGCUUAUUGAUUUGUUUCUUUGGAUCCAUGGUUUGACUAUACAAUAAAUGUCUUGUAAGUAUGUAUACUUUAUCUCCCACCUAUGAGCUCCAGAUAUUAAAGCCUUAUUAGAGUAGGGUGAGAGAGAAGGCAAUGUCACUAUGCCUUAUACCACAAAUACCACAUAUUUUGAGAGAAGGCAUAUACUAUCACUGCCUUGGUAAGGAUCCAGAAAUACCACAAAAGAGAGAUAUGAGAGAGUCAUACAAAGGAAUCUCUGAGUUUUAUUUGAAAAUCUGCAAAAAACUCCAGAGCUAUAGCUGAUCAAGAAUAAGAGACAUGGCACUUGGCUAGACUGUUCUAUCUUUUAACUACUCAAGACAGAAGUGACGGUUACAAGUCCCAUGGUGAAAGGUAAAGUAAGUAAGUUUUAGUUCUUAACAGUUUACUCUAACUUAGAGAUGAGAUCUUAUUUAAAGCAUGUGUACCGUUAAAUUUUUAAGAUAUUGCAACAACUUAUGAUCCAUUGCUGAGUCUAUCCUUGCUCAGGGACGAGCAAGAGGUAAGCUUGGGGGAGUUUGUUGACGGUCCUUAAGUAUCAAAUUUAACUAUCAAAUAAACAAAGAAAAGGAUCCAAAUGAAAUCAACAUCAAGACUUAGGGUUUUAUCUAACAGAAUUCCACGAGUUUUGGUGUUUGUCUAUUUCUGCAGGGGGUUAUCAGGAAAUAAGGAAGAAAGGCCCACACGUCGGGAUUACGUAAAGAUAUUAACGUGCCGCGCAAUUAUCUUACAUCUAGAAGACUCCAGAAGCCACGAGACCGAAGCGGAGGCGAAACGGGGCCAGAGACAAGGCGCCCGCCCUGUCCUACUGGGCGCCCGCCCACCUCCUGUGGCCAAUCACGCUCAAUCUCGCGGAUUAUGUUCCACCGACCUAAAGGAUCAAGAAUAACCAUUCAAUCAAUGUCGGUUUGAUCCGACGGCCCAGGUUCACUUGAGGGGACUAUAAAACCAGACCCCCUGGCCCCUGGAGGAGGCAACCCCUUGAUCAUUAUUCAUUAUUCAUAGACAGAGCAAAAGCUAGGGUUUAGAGAUGAGAGCUCUCCUCUCUUCUCUAAACUAGAGUAGAUCUAGAUAGUAGCGAGAUGGAGAGCGAAGGAGGAUUAGAGGAGAGGCCGGCCUGUCGGUUCUUCCUCCGGUUGUACUUCGCCAUGAUCAAGCUCUAAUCAAGCUUGCUCAUGGGAUGACUCUGGUAAUCUACUUCUAAUUCAUUAUGCAAUUACUAAUCAUGUAUGUUCUGGUUCACAACUCUUUUGAGUACUUCUAAUCUAUAGGACCCUAUAGGUUAGAGUUGUAGUAUAGGUGUAAGCGUGGUGCUUAGACCUAGAUUACUUGUGGAUAUCCCCUGACUAGCUGGAUCAUGUGGUAGGCCGCGUAGGUGACAGUUACGUUGGUCCCCUGUAGUACACCUCUCAUUAGCAGGACGGGUAGGGUUUAUCGGCCUAUGGAUAAGCAUCCUUUGUGGUGUACUCUUAUCACAUGGUUCGUCCCAGACAUAGACAUACCCCUUUGAAGUAGAGAAACCAUAGUUAUCCUCUCUAUUCUGCUACCAUCGCCCAUAUACUAGAAUUGCUCUACUCUCUAUUCCCAUAUUAUCACUCACUGUUAUCUUACCUUUAAUAUUGUUCUUAUUCGAUUCUACUAUCUUUCCUAUUCACACCUAUUUACUUAUCUUGGUUAAGUUAGAGCGUAGAUCAGUUCUCCCGUUUCCCUGUGGAUACGAUAAAACCUUUAACCAGGUAAAAGCUUCAACGGUAUCCGUGCGCUUGCGGAUUAUCUGUGUGCGUAUAAAUACCAUAGUACACUCUAGUGCCACGCUGGGGAUGAAAACCUAGUAUUCAAGUGGUGUUAGCAAGUGUCAACCCCCCGCUUAAAAGAAUCUCGUCCUCGAGAUUGAGCAGUGCAUAAACAAACAACUGUGGCUAUGAUUCUCUCCAAUCAUUCUCUCUUUCCCAAGUUGCUUCUACCUCUAAAAACCGAUUCCAUUGCACUAGCAAAUUCAUGUCUCUAGUCAAGUAACAUACCUGGUAACUUAUCUGAAAAUUUAUUCCCUACACAGUCCUGAAGAUCAACACCAUCAUUCAGCUGAUUCACUGCAGCUGUGGGUAGAGCCUGCACUGCUACAUCAACACUUAUUCUAUCUCCCUUUGGUGUUGUCACAACUACUACUUUCUCUUUGCACUUAAUCUCCGUAGUAUAUUUCUUCAUCCAAUCCAAACCCAAUAUCACAUCUAUGCCUGAGGUUCUCAUAACCAUGGGACUAACCGGGAAAUCUACCCCCCUUAAAGAAAGACUUGCUGAGGGGCAACAAUAAGAAACCGGUAUAGUCCCUCCCGGUGAGUUUACUAGCAUAUGAGUUUUCAUGGCAACUAGUGGAAUGCUAUGAACUCUAACAAAUGCUUGUGAUAUGAAUGUAUGCGAAGCUCCAGAAUCAAAUAAGACUGUAGCGGGGAUAGAGUUGAUACUGAACGUACCCAUCAUAAUCUCCGGUCCCUCUUGUACCGUCUCUGCAGCCACAUGGUUCACCUUUGCUCCAUGAGAAUUAGACUUUUGCUUGUUGUUCUACUGGUUGAAUCUCUCCGGGCAAUCAUAUGACAUAUGACCAUCUUUCCCACAGCGAAAACACCUAGUAGGGGUAUUGGGAGCACUUCUCUUCAUAGAGGUGGCAUUUGAAUUUCCUGAGCGGGGAAUCUACUGACCACUCUGCUGUUGAUUAGGAUUACGCUGAGGUUGUUGGUUGCGAUCCCAUUGACCAACCGGUCCCUGGAACCUCUGUUGAUCGGCUUGCCGCGAAUUGAAACGUUGGCGGUUGUUGCCUCUAGAACCUUGUGCUAGCAUCCUUCUCUUCUUGUCCUGGCCUUUGCGCAUGUUAUCCAACAUGAUAGCACGGUUCACUAAAGCCUGGAAGGUAGGAUAUGUGUUUCCAGCUAGUUGCAACCUAAGUUCAUAGUAGAGACCUUUCAUGAAGAGACGUUGUUUGUUAGCAUCCUCUCUAACUUCGUUUGGGGCAUAGCGAGCCAACUGCUCAAACAUGUCAUGAUACUCAGCCACAGACAUAGAACCCACCCUGAGAGAUCUGAAUUCUUCCUGCUUGAGCUCCAUCAUUCCUUCAUUGAUAUGUCGUGCUCGGAAAUCUCUGCAGAAUUCCAACCAAGUGACAGGAGGAGCAUUGUUGGGACGAGCAGCUUGAUAUGACUCCCACCAUGUCUGAGCUGCCCUCUGAAGCUGUCCAGAAGCAUACAACACCUUCUCCAAGUCAUUGCACUGCGCCAUGUUCAGUUGCCUCUCCACAACACGUAGCCAAUCAUCUGCCUCCAUAGGAUCAGCUAAGUGUGUAAACACCGGAGGUCUUCCUUUCAUAAAUUCACCACGCUUAUCUCUCACAUGAACUGGUGGUGGAGGUUGCUGCUGUAGGUGCUGCAUGAAGACGUGCAUCAUCUCAUUCUGAGUUUGCAUAAGUUCCUCCACAGUAACUGGGGCAUUACCACCAUUGCCACGGCCUCUGCCUCUGCCUCUUCCCCUUGCUGCCAUCUGCAUUCGAAGGUAUAGAAACAUGUCUUAGUAAUGUCCAACAUGACAAUUACAAGAGGUAACAGAAUCUGAAAUUUUCUGGGUAACAUCCAACAUCAGCAGAUCAGAAAAUUUGUCACAUCACGAGUUCCAAAAUUCAAAAGGAUAUAUGCUGUACACCGAUGGAAAUAUAAAGAAAUUGUCUACAACUUUCAUUUAGAUCAUAUUACCAGAUUCCCACGUUAGGUUCAUCAAAAACUGGGUACAACCGAAUCUGUUCUAGAAUUCCAGACUGCACAGAAACCUCAAUUAAACAGUCAUAUCUCACAGCUCAUAACAGAUAAUAAUGUCAUUCUUGAGGCAUUGGAAAGAUAUGAAGGUCCACUUGUUCCCAUAAAAAUUUGAUGAACAUUGCACGAACAGAUUUUGAGAUGUACCAGAUUCUUUGCAGACUGCUCCAGAAAACAGCAAAAGACAGAAACAGAAUUUUAACCAACCCCAACUAUUUAGUUCAUUAAUCCUUAUGCCUUAAGCCUAUAAACUAAAUGAAAUUGUAGAGGAAAUCCACAAGAUCAUUACACUCAUUACAAAGAUCCAAAUCAAGCAUAAGCAUAAUAACAAACCAAACCAAGCAUCAAAGUUUCACACUUCAAGCAUUGACUCAACUUGCGGUGCUAACGUUCUCUUCCUAUUAAGGGUAAAGAUCCUAUUACUCCUAUUUCAAUGACGUUAGAAGGUGGUAAGGAAAGUUCUAAAAGCAUAUUCAAAGCAAGAAGUGGGGAUGAGAACAAGUCUUUAAAAUAAGCAACAAGGUAAAGAUGAAUAGGAUAUAGUGUAGAAGAAAAUAUCAAGGUUUAUAGAGCAAGGAUUUUAUAGCAAUUUCAAAACCUUAAGACGGCCAAUUUCUAACUAGGCUUGCGUCCGACAGUCAACAAAGCUUUGAUACUAAUUUGUCACACCCAUAUUUUAAGAACAAAAUAGGAUGCAUAUAAGACUCAUAUCUGUCCCAGAAACAGUCGCACACAUAAGUAGACAAAUGUCAAAUGUACCAUUGCAGUGUUUAUUACAUAGCGGAACAAUAAUAAAUCACAUAGUCUUACACAAAAAUAAUAUGAGAUAAACAACGCUCUUGACGGAAGCACCACACAGGGACACUGUUGACUGGUUGACUCCAAACCUAGUACUCAUAACGGUAAUCCUCAUUCCAGUCAUCUUCAUUAUCAUAUCCUGAGGUGUUAGGAAAUUGCAAGAGUGAGCACAUAUUGUACUCAACAAGUAUAACCAGGGGUUCAUGAGGCUCAAAUAGCUGACACUGGUUUGACUGCAUUUAGCUUUUAAUAGUGGAUAGCAUGUUUACUCAUUGGAUAGCAAAUAUCAAGGUAGCAUAAUUAAAUCCCAUAACCACAUGAUCAAUGUAUACAAGAAUUAAGAAUAACACAUAUAAAGAACAUAAUAAACCAUCAUUUAUUAUCAUUAUUCACGUUCAUCAGUGUCCAUCUAUUCCGUCAGUUUUCCGGGCCGCCCGUAUCCGUGGGCACGGCUAGUAUACCAGAUUUAACACUCUGCAGAGGUUGUACAUCUUUACCCAUGAGUCGUGAUUUACCCUUUCGCCCGAGCUUGCAAGUCUCUUAACCCCCUUCCUAGGGAGGUCGGCAGGGAUCACUAUGAAGCCUUUCAAAGGUUUCGUCUAACAAGUGAGGGCCAUUAGAUUCACUCGGCAGGCAGAUAUAGAGCCCCCUUCCAUGGCACAUAACCCGCAGCCUAUACACAUGGACAGAGGCCACACUAUACCCAACGUGUCUAGCCAUUCUUACACCAUUUAAGGUAACCACUAACAAGCUAGAAAAAGGUCCUCAUACUGAGCUAAAACCAGAGCCAUAUAGCCCUCAUGGUUGUACGAGUUGUCCCAGCUUUUUCCAAGGGAUAAGUCCUUGUGGUGGGUCAAGAUCAAUCUAGCAAAAGCUAGAAUUCUUUCCACCCUUUAUGUUCAAGUUGCUAGAAAGCUUAUUUUAUUGUUUAUUGUACAUUAAAAUAUUCAUGUUACAAGAUCAUAGAUUAAUAUUCAAGCACUAGCAUGAACUACCCAAAUGCAUAUCCAAUAUAGGUAACAUGGAAUUCAGGAUAACAAUCAUCUAUGAUUUUGCUAAGGUCAUCAAGCUGGACACAUGCAUAUGAUAAAUAUUGUAUUAAUUAUGUAUAGGUAACAAGGAUGAUCCCAAGUUAUACUUGCCUUGCUCAAAGCUCUCCUGAGCCUGCUGGUCUUCAAAGGCUUGGUCUUGAUCACCAACGUACGGCUAACCGUCUAUUCCCAAACAUCAAUCAACAACACGCAAUCCAAUGUAGACAAUCAUACACGAAGCAAACAACUAUAAUUAGAACAUUACACCAAACAGUAGUAAAAUAAAUAUAAAAGUUUACCAAAAUAUUCUACGCAGCACUACGAUCACACAAACGUAAAGUUCACAAAAAUCGGAAUUAAAACGGAGAAGUUAUGCAAUUUCCAAGAUUUCCUAUAGAGAAAUAAUUAAUUAAAUGCUACUGCAGAAUUAAAAAGUUUCAAAACAGUAAACUAAUACUUCUAACAUGUACGGAUCGUAAACAUGAAUCCAACGGAAUUUGAAUGGACAAAAACGGAGUUAAAAUGAGCAUUUUAUAAGCAAAACAAAUCCAGUGGCAAUUCUGUAAUUAGCUGAAAACGUAUUUACCUUCAUCCCGAACGAAAAUACGCUUUCUACUCAGCAACGCGUAUUUUCCAGAGGGCGCCAAGGACCGUGGGCGAAUUACAAAAGAACACAGGGACUCUUUAGAAAGAUUUCCAACGAAGGGGUAUCUUCAUUUGCUGGCCAUCCGAUCUCCAUCCGACGGCCGAGAUUUCUCCAGGGGUUAACAGCGGCGGCGGCCGGCCAACUUCCUAGUCUCCGGUGCGGUGGCGCCAUUGUUGCCACCACGAAGGUCGCCAACGUUCUUCAAUCUCGCAUUUUCGGCCACCAAACUCCGAACCAAGCGCACGGGUCGAAAGAGGAGGGAGAGGCGAGCUCACCUACGCCGAAAACAAGGACGAAGAAGACGCAGGGACGGAGCAGUGCUCGGUAUGGCGGAAGACAACUCGGCGAGAUCCGAAACUCGCGAUUUACGAAGAUAGGGCACAGCUUGGACGAUUUGGAUGCGAAAAGGUAGAUGCGGGGCGGCUCAGGGGCUUUAUAGGUGUCUUAUGCGGCAAGUAAUCCCGUCCAAAUCGGGAUUGAUUCGCUCGGAUUUCCUUCGGCGGUGUCCUGCUCAGGUACGCGCGUUGGGGAGGAAAAGAGGGAGGGAGAGGAGGCUGACACGUGGGAACCGUCUGGCGGUGAAGGGGGAGAUGGGACCCAGACGUCGGUGAGAGAAGAGGCGGGGUGGGAAGCUGGGUUGCUUGCCGGGCCGAGCGCAGGGUGGAAGGGGGAGUGGGCCGCGUGCGGAGGAGGGGGAGAAACAGGCCGGGGGUGGGUCUGGCUGGGUUUACCUUUUCUUUUUUUCCUUUUUUUUCUUUUCUGUUUUCUUUUUCCUAUUUCUUCUUUGUUUUCUAAAGUCUUUUUGAAAAGAGAUUUUAAAUCCUUUUGGGAGAAAUACAAAAUACAUAGACAAAAAGCAAGCAAGCAAGUAAAUAAAUAAAUUAAUUCCAACAUGAAUGCACCACCAUGUUUCUAAACUUAGAAUAAAUUUUAAUUUUGACCAAAACUAUUUUAUUUACUAGAUUAAAUGCUCACCAAAAAUGCUUAAUUAAAUCAAAUUAAUUCCUAUUAAUGGAAAACAAAUUUUUGGGUCUUACAAAUUCUAUCCCCCUUAAAAGAAUCUCGUCCUCGAGAUUGAGCAGUGCAUAAACAAACAACUGUGGCUAUGAUUCUCUCCAAUCAUCCUCUCUUUCCCAAGUUGCUUCUACCUCUAAAAACCGAUUCCAUUGCACUAGCAAAUUCAUGUCUCUAGUCAAGUAACAUACCUGGUAACUUAUCUAAAAAUUUAUUCCCUACACAGUCCUGAAGAUCAACACCAUCAUUCAGCUGAUUCACUGUAGCUGUGGGUGGAGCCUGCACUGCUACAUCAACACUUAUUCUAUCUCCCUUUGGUGUUGUCACAACUACUACUUUCUCUUUGCACUUAAUCUUCGUAGUAUAUUUCUUCAUCCAAUCCAAACCCAAUAUCACAUCUAUGCCUAAGGUUCUCAUAACCAUGGGACUAACCGGGAAAUCUACCCCCCUUAAAGAAAGACUUGCUGAGGGGCAACAAUAAGAAACCGGUAUAGUCCCUCCUGGUGAGUUUACUAGCAUAUGAGUUUUCAUGGCAACUAGUGGAAUGCUAUGAACUCUAACAAAUGCUUGUGAUAUGAAUGUAUGCGAAGCUCCAGAAUCAAAUAAGACUGUAGCGGGGAUAGAGUUGAUAUUGAACGUACCCAUCAUAAUCUCCGGUCCCUCUUGUACUGUCUCUGCAGCCACAUGGUUCACCUUUGCUCCAUGAGAAUUAGACUUUUGCUUGUUGUUCUGCUGGUUGAAUCUCUCUGGGCAAUCAUAUGACAUAUGACCAUCUUUCCCAUAGCGAAAACACCUAGUAGGGGUAUUGGGAGCACUUCUCUUCAUAGAGGUGGCAUUUGAAUUUCCUGAGCGGGGAAUCUGCUGACCACUCUGUUGUUGAUUAGGAUUACGCUGAGGUUGUUGGUUGCGAUCCCAUUGACCAACCGGUCCCUGGAACCUCUGUUGAUCGCCUUGCUGCGAAUUGAAACAUUGGUGGUUGUUGCCUCUAGAACCUUGUGCUAGCAUUCUUCUCUUCUUGUCCUGGCCUUUGCGCAUGUUAUCCAACACGAUAGCACGGUUCACUAAAGCCUGGAAGGUAGGAUAUGUGUUUCCAGCUAGUUGCAACCUAAGUUUAUAGUAGAGACCUUUCAUGAAGAGACGUUGUUUGUCAGCAUCCUCUCUAACUUCUUUUGGGGCAUAGCGAGCCAACUGCUCAAACAUGUCAUGAUACUCAGCCACAGACAUAGAACCCAUCCUGAGAGAUCUGAAUUCUUCCUGCUUGAGCUCCAUCAUUCCUUCAUUGAUAUGUCGUGCUCGGAAAUCUCUGCAGAAUUCCAACCAAGUGACAGGAGGAGCAUUGUUGGGACGAGCAGCUUGAUAUGACUCCCACCAUGUCUGAGCUGCCCCCUGAAGCUGUCCAGAAGCAUACAACACCUUCUCCAAGUCAUUGCACUGCGCCAUGUUCAGUUGCCUCUCCAUAGCACGUAGCCAAUCAUCUGCCUCCAUAGGAUCAGCUGAGUGUGUAAACACCGGAGGUCUUCCUUUCAUAAAUUCACCACGCUUAUCUCUCACAUGAACUGGUGGUGGUGGUGGUGGAGGUUGCGGCUGUAGGUGCUGCAUGAAGACGUGCAUCAUCUCAUUCUGAGUUUGCAUAAGUUCCUCCACAGUAAUUGUGGCAUUACCACCAUUGCCACGGCCUCUGCCUCUGCCUCUUCCCCUUGCUGCCAUCUGCAUUCCAAGGUAUAGAAACAUGUCUUAGUAAUGUUCAACAUGACAAUUACAAGAGGUAACAGAAUCUGAAAUUUUCUGGGUAACAUCCAACAUCAGCAGAUCAGAAACAUUUGUCACAUCUCGAGUUCCAAAAUUCAAAAGGAUAUAUGCUGUACACCGUUGGAAAAAUAAAGAAAUUGUCUACAACUUUCAUUUAGAUCAUAUUACCAGAUUCCAAAGUUAGGUUAAUCAAAAACUGGGUACAACCGAAUCUGUUCCAGAAUUCCAGACUGCGCAGAAACCUCAACUUUAAACAGUCAUAUCUCACAGCUCAUAAUAGAUAAUAAUGUCAUUCUUGAGGCAUUGGAAAGAUAUGAAGGUCCACUUGUUCCCAGAAAAAUUUGAUGAACAUUGCACGAACAGAUUUUGAGAUGUACCAGAUUCUUUGCAGACUGCUCCAGAAAACAGCAAAAGACAGAAACAAAAUUUUAACCAACCCCAACUAUUUAGUUCAUUAAUCCUUAUGCCUUAAGCCUAUAAACUAAAUGAAAUUGUAGAGGAAAUCCACAAGAUCAUUACACUCAUUACAAAGAUCCAAAUCAAGCAUAAGCAUAAUAACAAACCAAACCAAGCAUCAAAGUUUUACACUUCAAGCAUUGACUCAACUUGCGGUGCUAACGUUCUCUUCGUAAAGAUCCUAUAACUCCUAUUUCAAUGACGUUAGAAGGUGGUAAGGAAAGUUCUAAAAGUAUAUUCAAAGCAAGGAGUGGGGAUGAGAACAAGUCUUUAAAAUAAGCAACAAGGUGAAGAUGAAUAGGAUAUAGUGUAGAAGAAAAUAUCAAGGUCUAUAGAGCAAGGAUUUUAUAGCAAUUUCAAAACCUUAAGACGGCCAAUUUCUAACUAGGCUUGCGUCCAACAGUCAACAAAGCUUUGAUACCAAUUUGUCACACCCGUAUUUUAUGAACAAAAUAGGAUGCAUAUAAGACUCAUAUGUGCCCCAGAAACAGUCCCACACAUAAGUAGACAAAUCUCAAAUGUACCAUUGCAGUGUUUAUUAUAUAGCAGAACAAUAAUAAAUCACAUUGUCUUACACAAAAAUAAUAUGAGAUAAACAACGCUCUUGACGGAAGCACCACACAGGGACAUUGUUGACUGGUUGACUCCAAAUCUAGUACUCAUAACGGUAAUCCUCAUUCCAGUCAUCUUCAUUAUCAUAUCCUGAGGUGUUGGGAAAUUGCAAGAGUGAGCACAUAUCAUACUCAACAAGUAUAACUAGGGGUUCAUGAGGCUCAAAUAGCUGAUACUGGUUUGACUGCAUUUAGCUUUUAAUUGUGGAUAGCAUGUUUACUCAUUGGAUAGCAAAUAUCAAGGUAGCAUAAUUAAAUCUCAUAACCACAUGAUCAAUGUAUACAAGAAUUAAGAAUAACACAUAUAAAAACAUAAUAAACCAUCAUUUAUUAUCAUUAUUCACGUUCAUCAGUGUCCAUCUAUUCCGUCAGUUUUCCGGGCCGCCCGUAUCCGUGGGCACGGCUAGUAUACCAGAUUUAACACUCUGCAGAGGUUGUACAUCUUUACCCAUGAGUCGUGAUUUACCCUUUCACCCGAGGUUGCAAGUCUCUUAACCCCCUUCCUAGGUAGGUCGGCAGGGAUCACUAUGAAGCCUUUCAAAGGUUUCGUCUAACAAGUUAGGGCCAUUAGAUUUACUCGGCAGGCAGAUAUAGAGCCCCCCUUCCAUGGCACAUAACCCGCAGCGUAUACACAUGGAUAGAGGCCACACCAUACCCAACGUGUCUAGCCAUUCUUACGCCAUUUAAGGUAACCACUAACAAGCUAGAAAAAGGUCCUCAUACUGAGCUAAAACCAGAGCCAUAUAGCCCUCAUUGUUGUACGAGUUGUCCCAGCUUUUGCCAAGGGAUAAGUCCUUAUGGAGGGUCAAGAUCAAUCUAGCAAAAGCUAGAGUUCUUUCCACCCUUUAUGUUCAAGUUGCUAGAAAGCUUAUUUUAUUGUUUAUUGUACAUUCAAAUAUUCAUUUUACAAGAUCAUGGAUUAAUAUUCAAGCACUAGCAUGAACUACCCAAAUGCAUAUCCAAUAUAGGUAACAAGGAAUUCAGGAUAACAAUCAUCUAUGAUUUUGCUAAGGUCAUCAAGGUGGACACAUGCAUAUGAUAAAUAUUGUAUUAAUUGUGUAUAGGUAACAAGGAUGAUCCCAAGUUAUACUUGCCUUGCUCAAAGCUCUCCUGAGCCUGCUGGUCUUCAAAGGCUUGGUCUUGAUCACCAACGUACGGCUCACCGUCUAUUCCCAAACAUCAAUCAACAACACGCAAUCCAAUGUAGACAAUCAUACACGAAGCAAACAACUAUAAUUAGAACAUUACACCAAACAGUAGUAAAACAAAUAUAAAAGUUUACCAAAAUAUUCUACGCAGCGCUACGAUCACACAAAUGUAAAGUUCACGAAAAUCGGAAUUAAAACGGAGAAGUUAUGCAAUUUCCAAGAUUUCCUAUAGAGAAAUAAUUAACUAAAUGCUACUACAGAAUUAAAAAGUUUCAGAACAGUAAACUAAUACUUCUAACAUGUAGGGAUCGUAAAUACGAAUCCAACGGAAUUUGAAUGGACAAAAACGGAGUUAAAAUGAGCAUUUUAUAAGCAAAACAAAUCCAGUGGCAAUUCUGUAAUUAGCUGAAAACGUAUUUAGCUUCAUCCCGAACGAAAAUACGCUUUCUACUCAGCAACGCAUAUUUUCCAGAGGGCGCCAAGGACCGCGGGCGAAUUACAAAAGAACACAGGACUCUUUAGAAAGAUUUCCAACGAAGGGGUAUCUUCAUUUGCUGGCCAUCUGAUCUCCAUCCGACGGCCGAGAUUUCUCCAGGGGUUAAUAGCGGCGGCGGCCGGCCAGCUUCCUGGUCUCCGGUGCGGUGGCGCCAUUGUUGCCACCACGAAGGUUGCCGGCGUUCUUCAAUCUCGCGUUUUCGGCCACCAAACUCCGAACCAAGCGCACGGGUCGAAAGAGGAGGGAGAGGCGAGCUCACCUACGCCGAAAACAAGGACGAAGAAGACGCGGGGACGGAGUAGUCUCGGUAUGGCGGAAGACAACUCGGCGAGAUCCGAAACUCGCGAUUUACGAAGAUAGGGCACGGCUUGGACGAUUUGGAUGCCAAAAGGGGCUUUAUAGGUGUCUUAUGCGGCAAGUAAUUCCGUCCAAAUCGGGAUUGAUUCGCUCGGAUUUCCUUCGGCGGUGUCCUGCUCAGGUACGCGCGUUGGAGAAGAAAAGAGGGAGGGAGAGGAAGCUGACACGCGGGACUGAAAGGUCCAAAUGGCUAGAGGGGGUGUGAAUAGCCUAUUUAAAAAUUCUACAAACUUCACUAAGCAAGUGAGUUAGUAAAACAAAUAGCGAAGCAAUUUUAGCACUAGCUUAACUAAGCUAUGCAAGCCACCUAUACAAACUAGUACAAGGCUAAACAGUAAAGCACAACAACCAAAGAACUAAGCUAAACAAGCUACACAACUAGCAAGGUAUGCACAAAAGUAAAGGAGAGGUGAGUGAUUGUUAUACCAACGUUGUAGAGUAGAGAUAUAUCCAACCAAUCACUCACAAUGACAAGAGAAUCCUCGGCAAGAGAUGACACAAGAUUUUUUACCGAGGUUCACUUGCUUCCCGGCAAGCUACUCCUCGUUGUGGUGAUACACCCACUUGAUGGAUCACGAGCUAAUUGGCAAUCCAAAGCCAAACCCUCAGCGGGUGCCGCACAUCCACUCACAAGAUGGGGAUCCUCCAAGCCACGAGCAAUCCACUAGAGUAGCCAAUUGCGAUCUCCCGCGGGGAAGGCUCAAGAACCCCUCACAAGUCACUUGGUGAGGCUCGAAACAAUCUCCAAUCACGAGCUCAACACCACCGCUGCUCCAAGCCGUCUAGGGCGUUGGGAAACACCCAAGAGUAACAAGAAAUCCGCAGCAAACUCAAGAAUCAAGUGCCACUAAAUGCAACUCUCAAAGCAAUGCACUUGAAUCUCACUCAAUCUCACUAGGAUGAGCAAUCAAGCAAGGAGAUGAGUGGAGGGAGUGUUCUCUAGCUCAAAGUAUGCCUCAAGUAUUCAAAAGUGCAAGUUAGAGCCUCCCAAAGCCUGCCACCUUCUAUUUAUAAGCCCCUUAAAGAAACUAGCCAUUGGCUGUUUUCACUGGGCUGAAAACGGGGGCACCGGACGCUACUAAGUGAGCACCGGACGCUCGACUCCCUGCGUCAGGUGCACUGGAGUUGGCCACGUGUCCUCUUUGAAUCUCGCGUGUCAGAUCCUAACGGCUACCUGCAACACACCAGACGCUCUGCAAGUCCACACCGGACGGUCCGGUGCUCACCGGACUCGUGCGCAGAGAGGGUGUCAAACUCGCGACCUCACCGGACGCUGGGCACCGGACUCGUGCGCAGAGAGGGUUGCAAAAACACCUCACACCGGACGCUAACCACCGGACGCUCUCAGAGUGCGUCCGGUGCUUAACCCUAGCAGGGUCAAGCGCACCGGACGCUGAAGCCAGCGUCCGGUGCCUCCGCACUCAGCGUCCGGUGAGUGUUUCUCAGAGAGAAAACACUCCCGCGACUACUCCAAAUUUCCCACCGGCGCAAUAGAAAAUAUACACUUAUUUUUGUCAAAAGCGCCGAAUCCCGCCUCGCAAGCUCGACGGGAGGGAGAGAGGAACCCACACCCCUCUCAACCCUAGGAACUCCAUCUCCUUUGCAAAAGUGCUAACACCAACAAGUGUCCACCACCAAAGUGCAAGUGUGUUAGCUUUUCACAAACAUUUUCACCAAAGGAGUUAAGUUAGCACUUUACUAGAUCCUAAUGCAUAUGCUCAAGAUAUGGACCUAGUAGCACUUGAUUCGAGAGAUGACCGUGAUUUCCCCUCUUGAUAGUCGGCUAUCUAUCCUAAACCCGGUCAAUCACUUCUCUACUCAUCUUAGACCGGCAAAAGUAAAACCCUAUGUUUAUACCUUUGCCUUGUUCACUUUCUCCCUUGUCCGUCAUCAUGAUUUCCACAUCAUGCUUCAUCUCUUUGUAAUCAUGUGGCCACCUUUCCAUGCCACCAUGUACCUUCAUCACAUGUGUUGCUAUGCCUAACUCAAAUCACUUAAACACAAGGCAUUAGCAACUUGGUGUCAUUAAUUACCAAAACCAAACUUGGGCUUUCAAUCUCCCCCUUUUUGGUAAUUGAUGACAACCAUCACAAAGAUAUGAAAUGAAAUCAUAAUGAACUUGAAUUGCUUGUCCAAAGCAUUUUUAUCAUGAGACAAGAUUGGACAAACAUUUCAAUUUCGGUUUUGGUAGUACUAGAUCCCCCUACAUAUGUGCUUCCAUGAGUUUGGUUCAAGUUUGCACAUAUGCAUGAAUUAGAGUUUUGGGAGAUUUAUUACUACCAAAAUGAUGCUAAGGUAUAUAGAAUGGACCUUUGAAGCGUGAUACCAAUCGGAGUUGCCAAUAUACCAUCCUUAGCACCAAUGUAGCUAGACAUACAUCAAAAACUCAAGAUACCUCGUGAGAUCACAUUAUAUGUCUAGAUACCACAUGAAAAUAAGACUCUAUGCUAGAAUUCAAAGCAUCAUUCAAGUUCUAUUUCUAGCAAACACCAAUCAAACAAGAGUAGUGAAUUUAAACUUGCAAUGCAACACCUCAUUAUGUUAGUGCACAUUCAAGUGCAACAAAUGGUUCAUGAGCUUGCUCCCCCUAUUUGUGUGCUCAAGUGUAUCUCUCCCCCUUUGCACUUUUCUCCCCCUUUAUGACUUUAUCUUUGUUUCUCUCCCCCUUUGUCAUCAAUGACCACAAAGGUUCAAAUUUUAGUGAGAAUUAAGUCAAUCAAUGUGAGGGUCAAAUUAUGGUUCAAUCUAGAUUACUUGCCUAGAAUAUGUAAUUCGGUUUGAUCCAAGGACAAGCUUUUUCACACCUCAUAAAGUAUAAGGGUUAUCUUGACCAUGUUGAAUUACACAUCAUAAGCUCAUAUUCUAGAUUCAACGCUAGGCUUGCAAGCUCACAAACAUGUCAUAUGCUACCACUAGAUCAAUCAAUCAUAGAAGCAAUAGUGGUACCAUACAUACAUCAAAAUCUUUUGUUUUUCAUGAAUGAGCCUAUUUGUCAUGCAAAUAUGUCUAUAUGUUCUAAUCUUGUCCUUAGCAAAGUAUGAAUGAUAUGUCAACCAACUUUACCUUGCUUUGUUGGAGGAGAGGCAUGUCAUAUAUAAAUGUGGGGGUGCACUCAUCUCAAGUUGGAGAAGUCAAGUAUGUUCAAUUCAUUCCUCAACUUGCAAAAUCUCUUCUCAUCAAGUGGCUUUGUGAAGAUGUCGGCUAGUUGAUCUUCGGUGCCAAUGCUUUCAAUGCUAAUAUCACCCUUUUGUUGAUGGUCUCUUAUGAAAUGGUGCCUUAUGUCAAUGUGCUUGGUUCUUGAAUGUUGAACCGGAUUUUGUGUCAUCUUGAUUGCACUCUCAUUAUCACAUAGCAAAGGCACAUUCUUGAAUUUGAUUCCAAAGUCAUUCAAGGUAGCUUUCAUCCAAAGCAAUUGUGCACAACAACUACCGGCACUAAUGUAUUCGGCUUCGGCGGUUGAUAGUGCAACACUAUUUUGUUUCUUUGAUGACCAUGAAACUAGAGACCUUCCUAGCAAUUGACAAGUGCCACUUGUGCUCAUUCUAUCAAUUUUGCAUCCACCAUAGUCGGAGUCCGAAUAUCCAAUCAACUCAAAGUUUGAUCCCUUGGGAUACCAUAAUCCAACAUCAUGAGUGCCCUUGAGAUACCUCAAUAUUCUUUUGGUUGCCUUCAAGUGACUCUCUCUAGGUGAAGCUUGGUAUCUUGCACAUUUGCACACACUAAACAUUACAUCCGGCCUUGAUGCGGUGACAUAGAGCAAACUUCCAAUCAUGGACCGGUAUAACUUUUGAUCUACCAUGUUUCCACUUGCAUCACUACCUAAUUGAUCAUUUGUGCCCAUAGGUGUGCUCAUUGGUUUAGCUUCUUGCAACCCAAACUUCUUGAUCAUGUCCUUGAUGUACUUUCCUUGACUUACAAAAGUGCCAUUUUUCAUUUGCUUGAUUUGAAGACCAAGGAAGUAACUAAGCUCUCCAAUCAUGGACAUUUCAAACUCAUUAGCCACCAUUCUUCCAAACUCUUCACAAAAGUCUUGAUUGGUUGAUCCAAAGAUGAUAUCAUCAACAUAGAUUUGCAACACGAACAAGUCAUUGCCUAGCUUCUUGGUGAAGAGGGUAGUGUCAACCUUUCCCAUCUUGAACCCUUUAGAGAGAAGGAAAUCUCUCAAUCUCUCAUACCAUGCUCUAGGUGCUUGCUUUAAACCAUACAAUGCCUUCUUGAGCUUGUAAACAUGGUUGGGUUUCUUGUCAUCUUCAAAACUGGGAGGUUGUUCAACAUAAACCAACUCAUUGAUGUAUCCAUUGAGAAAUACACUCUUCACAUCCAUUUGAUAGAGCUUGAUGUUGUGGGCACAAGCAUAGGCUAAUAAUAUUCUAAUUGCCUCCAAUCUUGCAACCGGUGCAUAUGUUUCUCCAAAGUCAAGACCUUCAACUUGAGUGUAGCCUUGUGCUACUAAUCUUGCUUUGUUUCUCACAACUACACCAUCUUGAUCUUGCUUGUUUCUAAAGACCCACUUGGUUCCAAUGACAUUGUAGUUCUUUGGCCUCUCAACAAGCUCCCACACUUGAUUUCUUGUGAAAUUGUUCAAUUCUUCAUGCAUGGCAUUUACCCAAUCGGAGUCCUUCAAUGCAUCUUCUAUUUUCUUUGGUUCCUCAAAUGAGACAAAUGAGUAGUGCUCACAAAAGGAUGCUAGCCUUGAUCUUGUUUGUACACCACUUUGAAUACCUCCAAUGACUUGAUCCAAUGGAUGAUCCCUUGCUAUGCUAGUAGGUUGGAGUAUUGGGAAUUGAUUGCUUCCACUAGCUUGAUUUUGAUCUUGAUCAUCAUCAUAAGAGCCACUAGUACUUGCUUGAUUUGUAUGAAUUUGCACUUCUUGAUUGAUCAUGUGAAUAUCACUAUCAUCAUCAACUUGCAUUGGCCUUAUGUCACCAACAUCCAUGUUCUUCAUUGCAUUUUCCAAUUGAUCUCCUCUCACAUCAUCAAGAUUUUGAGCUUCAUUUUGAGAUCCCUCGGUUUCAUCAAACUCAACAUCAUGGACUUCUUCCAAUGUGCCACUUGCCAAGUUCCAAACUCUAUAUGCCUUGCUUGUGGUGGAAUAACCAAGUAAGAACCCUUCAUCACAUUUCUUCUCAAACUUGCUCAAUCUAAUGCCUUUCUUGAGAAUGUAGCAUUUGCAACCAAACACUCUAAAGUAUGCAAUGUUGGGCUUUCUUCCAUUCAAUAGCUCAUAUGGUGUCUUCCCAAGCUUCCCAUGGCAAUAGAGACGGUUGCUACAAUAGCAAGCCGUGUUGAUAGCUUCACUCCAAAAUGAAUGACUAACAUUGUACUCACUAAGCAUUGAUCUAGCCAUAUCAAUCAAGGUUCUAUUCUUCCUUUCAACUACACCAUUGGAUUGAGGAGUGUAUGUUGGAGAGAAUUGAUGUCCAAUGCCAAGAUCAUCACACAAUUCCUCAAUUCUUGUGUUCUUGAAUUCACUACCAUUGUCACUUCUAAUCUUCUUGAUAGUGGUUUCAAACUCAUUUUGCACCCUCUUGACAAAAGACUUGAAUAGAUCACAAACAUCACUCUUGUCAUAGAGAAAGAACACCCAAGUGUAUCUAGUGUAGUCAUCUACUAUCACAAGUCCAUACUUGUUGCUACCAAUGCUAGUAUAUGUUGUUGGCCCAAAUAAAUCCAUGUGCAAAAGCUCAAAUGCCUUUGAUGUGCUCAUUUCACUUUUCUUAGGAUGUGCAUUUCCAACUUGCUUUCCGGCUUGACAAGCACUACAUGGUUUAUCCUUCUCAAAGGUGACAUCCUUCAAGCCUCUAACUAAGUCAUGCCUCAAUAGUUUGUUCAAUUGUUUCAUUCCAACAUGACCAAGCCUUCUAUGCCACAACCAACCCAAACUUGAUUUGCUAAUUAGGCAUGAUGUCAAUUGAGUGUCACUAUCAUUGAAAUCAACCAAGUAUAAGCUACCAUGCCUAAAUCCUUUGAAUAUCAAGUUUGAUCCAUCAACACUAAUCACCUCAACAUCAUCACUUCCAAAGAUGCACUUGAAACCAAGGUCACAAAGUUGUGCAAUAGACAAGAGAUUGAAAUCAAGGCUCUCAACUAGCAACACAUUUGAUAUGCUCAUGUCAUUUGAGAUAGCAAUUUUACCAAGCCCCUUGACCUUGCGUUUCUUGUUGUUACCGAAGGUAAUUGAAUCAAAGCCACCAUUUUGACUAGUAUCAAUUGAUUUGAACAUACAAGACUCCCCGGUCAUAUGUUGAGUGCACCCACUAUCAAGCACCCAAUGCCUUCCUCCGGCUUUGUAAUUGACCUACAAGACAAGAUCAAUUCUUUUUAGGUACCCAAACUUGAUUGGGUCCUCCAAGGUUAGCAACUAAGCUCUUUGGUACCCAAAUGGCUUUCUUCUUUGAGCCCAUCCAUGGUGCACCAAUGAACUUAGCAUGAACACCUUUUGUAUCCUUGGUAAGUACAUAAAAAGAAUUAUGCUUAAUUGAGGAUACAUUAGCUUUGGGUUUCUUGUUCAUGCAUUGUUGCUCUAAGUGACCAACUUGCUUGCAAGCUUUGCAAUACCGGCCUUUUGUCUUCACAAAACUAGUCUUGUGAGGAGCAAAGGCGGACUUGCCUUUCUUGGGGUUAUAGCCCAAUCCCUCUUUAUAGAGAGAAGCUCUUUGGCUACCCAAGCACAUAAGCAAGCGGUCCUCACCACCAUAAGCCUUGGCUAAGGUGUGAUUGAGCUCCUUUACCUCCUUCUUGAGAAUUUCAUUCUCAACUUUUAGUGUGGUGUCACAUGUGAAACCAUCACUACUAGAUGAGGGAGAUGUAGAUGUGCUACAUGAAGGGUUAGUCGAAGCAACAACAAUAGGCUUACUUAAGAUAUCACAUGUUAGGCCUAUGUUGCAAGUUUUAGCUUUCUCAAUUUUAGUUGGCUCAUUUUCACAUUUGUUAACUAGAGAGGAAUGAGCUUCUUCAAGCUUAGUGUGAGCCUUUUGAAGCUUCUUAUGGUCUUCCUUUAGAUUCUCAUAAGAUGCUCUAAGCUCAUCAAGUUCUUGCUCAAGGGUUUUCUUAUCCUUAAGCAAAGCCUUGCACUCCUUUCUAGUUUCUUUAUAGUGAUGAGUGCAAUCUUCUAGCAUAGUGAUUAGUUCAUCUUUAGUUGGUUCAUCAUCAUCACUAUCACUUGCAUGGUCACUCUCAUCAUCGGAUGAUACCUUAGUGGCCCUAGCCAUGAAGCAUGAUGGAGUGUCGAAGAUGGAGCUCUUUUCUUGAAUUGCAAUACUAGCAUGUGCCUUCUUCUUGGUGCUCUCAUCAUCACUUGAGGAAUCAUCACUAUCCCAAGUUGCAACAUGGGCAUCACCCUUCUUCUUGUUUGAGCCUUCCUUCUUUUCUUGCUUCUUCUUUUGCUUCUUUUUUUCCUUCUUGAUAGCAUCUUCAUCAUCACUAUCAUAAGGACAUUUGGCAAUGAGAUGAUCCUUGCUAUGGCAUCUAAAGCACCUCAUGGAGUGGUCAUUCUUCUUGGAGGAGCUCUUCUUCCUUCUUGCCCGAUAGCCCUUCUUCUUCAUAAACUUGCCAAAUCUCUUGACAAGGAGAGCCAUCUCCUCAUCUUCAUCACUAUCACAAGAGCUUGCUUCUUCUUCACUUGAUGAUUCUUGCUUGGCUUUGCCCUUGGAUGUGGAGGCCUUGAAUGCCACACUUUUCUUCUUCUCAUCAUCUUUCUUCUCACCAUCCUUCUUUUUCUUCUUGAUCAACUCAUCCUUCUCAUAAUCUUCUCUAUAAGCAUCAUCGGUCAUCACUUCUUGGAAGACUUGUUGGGGAGUUGAUUCACUAAGUGUUGUCUUGACUAGCACGGUGAUCAAUGUGUCAAAUCUCUUGGGCAAGCUUCUCAAGAACUUCAUAGAGAAUUGACUAUCCUUCACUUCUUCCCCAAGUGCCUUGAGCUCAUUUACAAUAACUUGUAACCGGUGAAACAUCUCCGCCACACUUUCAUCUUCUUGCAUCUUGAAGCUUGAGAACUUUUCUUGGAGGAUGUAUGCUUUGGCGGUCUUGGUUCCCUUGGUGCCCUCAAAUGUUUCUUCUAAUUUUGCCCAUGCAUCAUGAGCAAUCACAAUGUUCUUGAUUUGCUCAAAGGUCUUGUCAUCAAGAGCUUCAUGAAGAGCACUAAUUGCAAUAUCAUUGCAUUGUAGCUUCUUCUCUUCAACCGGUGUUGGUGCAUUCUCAUUUGCAACUUCAAACUUUGUUUCGGUCACCUUCCAAACCUCUCUAUUGAUUGACUUAAGAUGAGCGGUCAUCUUGACCUUCCAAUAUGCAUAAUUGGUGCCAUCAAAGAAAGGUGCCUUCUUGGUGUUGUUGAUAUGCAAACUAAGAGCCAUUUCUUCACCGAAGGUUGUUAAGCCUCAAAUAAACGGUGCCUCAGCUCCCAUACCACUUGAAAGGUCCAAAUGGCUAGAGGGGGGGUGAAUAGCCUAUUCAAAAAUUCUACAAACUUCACUAAGCAAGUGAGUUAGUAAAACAAAUAGCGAAGCAAUUCUAGCACUAGCUUAACUAAGCUAUGCAAGCCACCUAUACAAAUUAGUACAAGGCUAAACACUAAAGCACAACAACCAAAGAACUAAGCUAAACAAGCUACACAACUAGCAAGGUAUGCACAAAAGUAAAGGAGAGGUGAGUGAUUGUUAUACCAACGUUGUAGAGUAGAGAUAUAUCCAACCAAUCACUCACAAUCACAAGAGAAUCCUCGGCAAGAGAUGACACAAGAUUUUUUACCGAGGUUCACUUGCUUCCCGGCAAGCUACUCCUCGUUGUGGCGAUACACCCACUUGAUGGAUCACAAGCUAAUUAGCAAUCCAAAGCCAAACCCUCAGCGGGUGCCGCACAUCCACUCACAAGAUGGGGAUCCUCCAAGCCACGAGCAAUCCACUAGAGUAGCCAAUUGCGAUCUCCCACGGGGAAGGCUCAAGAACCCCUCACAAGUCACUUGGUGAGGCUCGAAACAAUCUCCGAUCACGAGCUCAACACCACCGCUGCUCCAAGCCGUCUACGGCGUCGGGAAACACCCAAGAGUAACAAGAAAUCCGCAGCAAACUCAAGAAUCAAGUGCCACUAAAUGCAACUCUCAAAGCAAUGCACUUGAAUCUCACUCAAUCUCACUAGGAUGAGCAAUCAAGCAAGGAGAUGAGUGGAGGGAGUGUUCUCUAGCUCAAAGUAUGCCUCAAGUAUUCAAAAGUGCAAGUUAGAGCCUCCCAAAGCCGGCCACCUUCUAUUUAUAAGCGGCUUAAAGAAACUAGCCGUUGGCUGUUUUCACUGGGCUGAAAACGGGGGCACCGGACGCUACUAAGUGAGCACCGGACGCUCGACUCCCUGCGUCCGGUGCACUGGAGUUGGCCACGUGUCCUCUUUGAAUCUCGCGUGUCAGAUCCUAACGGCUACCUGCAACACACCGGACGCUCUGCAAGUCCACACCGGACGGUCCGGUGCUCACCGGACUCGUGCGCAGAGAGGGUGUCAAACUCGCGACCGCACCGGACGCUGGGCACCGGACGGUCCGGUGCUCACCGGACUCGUGCGCAGAGAGGGUUGCAAAAACACCUCACACUGGACGCUAACCACCGGACGCUCUCAGAGUGCGUCCGGUGCUUAACCCUAGCAGGGUCAAGCGCACCGGACGCUGAAGCCAGCAUCCGGUGCCUCCGCACUCAGCGUCCGGUGAGUGUUUCUCAGAGAGAAAACACUCCCGCGACUACUCCAAAUUUCCCACCGGCGCAAUAGAAAAUAUACACUUAUGUUUCUCAAAAGCGCCGAAUCCCGCCUCGCAAGCUCGACGGGAGGGAGAGAGGAACCCACACCCCUCUCAACCCUAGGAACUCCACCUCCUUUGCAAAAGUGCUAACACCAACAAGUGUCCACCACCAAAGUGCAAGUGUGUUAGCUUUUCACAAACAUUUUCACCAAAGGAGUUAAGUUAGCACUUUACUAGAUCCUAAUGCAUAUGCUCAAGAUAUGGACCUAGUAGCACUUGAUUCGAGAGAUGACCGUGAUUUCCCCUCUUGAUAGUCGGCUAUCUAUCCUAAACCCGGUCAAUCACUUCUCUACUCAUCUUAGACAGGCAAAAGUAAAACCCUAUGUUUAUACCUUUGCCUUGUUCACUUUCUCCCUUGUCCGUCAUCAUGAUUUCCACAUCAUGCUUCAUCUCUUUGUAAUCAUGUGGCCACCUUUCCAUGCCACCAUGUACCUUCAUCACAUGUGUUGCUAUGCCUAACUCAAAUCACUUAAACACAAGGCAUUAGCAACUUGGUGUCAUUAAUUACCAAAACCAAACUUGGGCUUUCAGGGACCCGUCUAGCGGUGAAGGGGGAGGUGGGACCCAGACGUCGGUGAGAGAAGAGGCGGGGUGGGAAGCUGGGUUGCUUGCCGGGCUGAGCGCAGGGUGGAAGGGGGAGUGGGCCGCGUGCGGGGGAGGGGGAAAAACAGGCCGGGGGUGGGUCUGGCUGGGUUUACCUUUUCUUUUUUUUUCUUUUUUUUCUUUUCUGUUUUCUUUUUCCUAUUUCUUCUUUGUUUUAUAAAGUCUUUUUGAAAAGAGAUUUUAAAUCCUUUUGGGAGAAAUACAAAAUACAUAGACAAAAAGCAAGCAAGCAAGUAAAUAAAUAAAUUAAUUCCAGCAUGAAUGCACCACCAAGUUUCUAAACUUAUAAUAAAUUUUAAUUUUGACCAAAACUAUUUUAUUUACUAGAUUAAAUGCUCACCAAAAAUACUUAAUUAAAUCAAAUUAAUUCCUAUUAAUUGAAAACAAAUUUUUGGGUGUUACAAGUCUACUUUUGGUAAUGAUGUUAAGAAUACCCAACAGAUAGUAGGUGUUAUUGUUGAUGAAGUUCACGUCCUCUUGUAGUGUAGGGCAACAAAUAGAUUAGUGCCCGUAGUCUCCACAUUCUUUACAUGUCAUAUGGGAAUCAUUGAUGUGCAUGACUUCCUUCUUCUCUAUGUCGAGCUUCUUCAUGAUGAGGUCUAGCUUGGCAGUGACCAUGUUAGCUUUCUUGAGAUGAUGGAUUCCUCCUCCUUUCUUCCGAGACUGAGUAUGGUCUUCAUUGCAUGUCGAAUUUGAUACCAUCUUCUCAACAAUUGCUUUAGCGUCUGAGAGCUUAAGUGAUAGGAAAGCUCCCCCAGCUGCAGCAUCAAUAAACUCACUGGUACUAGAGAUGAGCCCGUGAUAGAAAGUCAACAUUAACAACCACUCCUCUAUCCCAUGAUGAGGACAGUCUUCAAUGUAAUUCUAGAAUCUUUCCCAUGCUUCAGUGAAUGAUUCAUCAUGUUGUUGUUGGAAACUUGAAAUCUUCCCACGUAGAGCAUUAGUCUUUGCUGUAGGAAAGAAUUUUGCCAUGAAAGAAGUUGAGCAAAGGUCCCAUGUAUUGUGUUUCUAUUUGUUGGUGUAAAACCACUACUUGGCUUUCCCGAAUAAUGAGAACGGGAAAAGACGUAGUAAGAUAGCACCUUUUGGUACUCCUCUGAUCGUGAAGGUGUUGCAGAUCUCUAGAAAGUGUUUGUUGAGGAUAUCAGUAAGGAGUACCCUAAGUGAUGAGCAUAUCAAGAGUAUCCGUACACAAGUCGAGGCAUCCGACUCGACGCCCAGUUGUGUGCCCGGUCCUCAACGACCAUAGUCUCGAACACGGAAAGUGCGUCCUGUGAAUCGACCAGGGCUCGAGCGCUGGCUACCGUCGAAUACGGAAACAGGCUCGAGCGAAUCGGAAGGCCUCGAGCGCAAGGACGCCGCCCGCCGCCUGACGUGGGCACGGGAACCAGGGCAUUUAAUGUGCCUGCCGCGUUCUUACCUAACCCGCCAGUCACAGGAAGCGUGAUGGGGAACAGGCACCCGUCCCGUCAUUCUUUUUGCAGCCUUCCCCACCAAACAAGCCAGAACGUGGCAGGAUGCAGGGAGUGGGUUGGAACGUCUAAUCAAGACCCCCCUCGAGACGCCCAAGGUCAGCACUCUAGCUAGCAAGGCGUUACACGACAUCCGACCCUCGAGUAGGCAUGUUUCCUUCCUAGGGAAGGGUCGGGCGACGAGUGACAGCACCUCAACCACUCCGACGCAGCUGCUGCCGCGACAUACAAGCGUGCAACAGAUAAACUAGUCCAGGACGGUGCACAGAGCGGGAUACAGGGGCACGCGUAAUCAUCAUCAAAGUACCAAGACAAGAUGGCUCGAGACCACGCCUGUACGGAGGCCUCGAGUAGGUCAGCGCGCCAUACCGCUAUCGACCCCUACUCUGACGCCUAUACAUGUACACUAGGCCCCUCCUUGGAACUAUAAAAGGGGAGGCCCGGGAGCGGAUACAGGGGACACGCGAUACAACACAACACACAUGCUUACUAGAGCUUCCAUACUCCAUCUACAUCCAUCUCACGCCUGUAUUCACCCCUGUACAAGCACUUAGGUGCAAGAUAAUACAAACACCUCUCCCCCCGCUGGACGUAGGGCCUUCUCUUGCCCGAACCAGGAUAAAUCUUUGUGUCAUUUCUUGCAUCACCAUCUGGAAAGGGGAGCACGCAUACAAGUUUUACUCGUUGGUGUGACCCCCCUGGGGAAAACACCGACAGUUGGCGUGCCAGGUAGGGGUCCUGCGUGUUUUUCACCGAUUUCCCAUUCCUUUCCACAUGGCCACUCUCAUUUCGCCGAUUCCGCGCUCCACGGUGAUUUGGUUCGGGAGCCUCGAGUUCAUGUCUACUUGUUCUGGCUAUGACAUGAUCCUGCUCUCUGUCAAAGGACUGGGAGGAGCCCGCGUUGCGCCAGCACGAUUGAGGGCUCCGAGACGUCCUCGCCACCACGCCUCCCCGCCCAAGAAGAGGCGUGGACAGGGCCACCAUCACCCUUCUGCCUCGUCACGACCGACAGUUCGUGCCAGGCAGGAGGUGACACAGGAGCCGACAGCCCCGUGCACCAAAACCGCGGGUAUGGCGGCCCAACGCCACGAGGAUCGCAUGACGACGAUGGGAGAUGGCGCGCGCCGCGCGCUCUCCCCCACCGCUACGCUACUUCCACAUGGGCUGUUCGCCCCAAGAAGAGCGCUGCCGUUUGGUCUAGACAAUGCCGCGGUGUCGCUCGCUAGGGCGAUAUGUCCAAACGCCCAGUCAUACAUGGAGAGACCAAUGGUCCUCCCACGCGAUACUGAAGCGCAGCAACAGACGUCCGAGCUGCCAGAUUUCUCCUAGGUACGAGGCCUCCGUCGCCUAGGGCUUGGGCGAUACACGAUCACCUCACUCAGGCAACGGCUGCUGGAGGAGGGACGUGGAUGCUUCUACGCCGCCGAGCCGGACUCCGGCUCUGAGUCCGACAGCUACGACCCUACUAGGGAAUGCUUCAACAUCGAUGGGGCAGUGGAAACCACCGACGAGACACAGGACGCCAUUGCAGGCGGUCGAGUCCUUGCAGCAAGGGAGGACCCCAGGACGCCUGGGAAUGACGGUCAGGUCGACCCCCCUCUGCAAGAAGACAGAACUGCGCAACUUGCGCAGCUACGAGAACUCAAAGCGAAGCUCGAUGAGGAUUGCGAGCGCCUUGUUCUGCUUGACAGAUCCUCAAGCAAGACCUGCCUUACCCGCUUGGUGGAAGUGUCCGCAGACGGGCUCGAGAGGUACAUCAGCAGAUCGUCGGAGACGGAGAGCCUGAGCAGCCCGUCAGCCGUUUCCCUCGAGCGGGCCAGAACGUCGUGGCGGCGACAAUGCUGCUGCGUAAUAUGCCCGAACCGUCGAACUCCCAAGCGCGACGCAUUCAAGACGAGGUGCAGACUCUGCUCCAGGUGGCAGCAGUUUGUUGAUAUUUGGUAACGCAAUCAGCAAAUGAUCCGCAAGCGCAUGAAUAUCGGUGAGCAUUUCACCCGGGAGGUUUUUUAGAGUAUCAUAUUUAUAUUUUUACCACUGGGAGAAAGGGUGCAUCUGACUAACCAAAUCUAUUGCUACUACCCCUUUAGGCUACAAAGAAUGUUUCUCGAUGUGAGUGAUGUAUAGAGAAGACUGCAACCGUAGUCUCGUUCUAACCUUGGUAAGGAUGAUCUACUGUUCUAUUGGGGAAGCUUACGGAAUCUAGACACCACAAAGGAUGUUCGACCCACACUUAUAAACUCUACCCAUCCUGCUAACAAGAUAUGGGAUACAAAGGUAACUCGGAAAUGUCACGUUCCUCGCUACUACCACGGUCCAGCUAGUCAGGGGAUAUCUAUGAGUACCCUAGCCUAAACACCACGUUUACGCUAGCAAUGAUUACUCUAAUACUCAACCGGAAGAGGAUUAAAGUAAACUCAUAAACCAAAGAACAAUAAAAUAAGAACUUACUGGAAUUAGAAGUCGAAUUACUGAAGAAUCUUAGGAGCAAGCCUCAGGUUAGAAGACUUGAUCCCGCAGGUACAACCUCGGAGUAGACACCGACAGGCCGGCCUUCCUCCGAUCUACACCUCCACUCUAUCUCUCUCAAUCUAGUAGAAACUAAAAGAUCUAUUUCUACUCACAUUGGUUGCUAAGCCUAAAAAGAAAUUUUAUUUAGAGAAGAGGUUUUCCUUCGAGGGCACCCCUCAACUCUAUGAAAAACUUGUCUCCUCCAGGGGCUAGGGGGUCUGCUUAUAUAGUCCUCCUCAUUUGGGCAUUUUUGGGUCAGCAGACGAUGUGGUACUAUGUUAUCCUUGAUCCUUUAGGUCGGUGGGACGUCGUGUGCGAAAAGAGUCCCAAACGGGGUCCAGAGGGGGGCGGGCGCCCAGGUCCUCAAGGCGGGCGCCCUGGGCCUGGCUCCUUUCGGCCUCUGCUUUCUUCCCUGGGCUUCUGGAGUCUUCUAGAUGGUAGAAAAUUGCGCGGUGUGUUGAUAUCUCUAUGUAAUCCCGACGUGUGGGCCUUUCUUCCUUAUUUCCUGAUAACCCCCUGCAGAAAUAGACAAACACCAAAACUCGUGGAAUUCUGUCAGAUAAAACCCUAAGUCUGGGUGUUGGUUGCAUUUGGAUCCUUUUCUUUAUUUAUUUGAUAAUUAUAUUUGGUACUUAAGGACCGUCAACAACUCCCCCAAGCUUACCUCUUGCUCGUUCCUGAGCAAGGAUGAACUCAAGAGUUUCUACAGUGGUUUCAUGCCUUAAAAGUACACACACAUUCAAGCAAGAUCUCAUCUCUGAGUUAGAAUAAACUGUUAAGACUAAAAACUUACUCAUUUUACCUUUCACCAUGGGGCUUGUAACCGCCAUUUGUGUCUUGAGCAGUUAAAAGAUAGAACGGUCAAGUCAAGCGCCAUGUCUCUUAUUCUUGAUCAACUAUAGCUCUGGAGUUUUUGCAGAUUUUCAAAUAAAACUCAGAGAUUCCUUAUAUGAUUCUCUCAAAUCUCUCUUUUGUGGUAUUUCUGGAUCCUUACCAAGGCAGUAAUGGUAUAUGCCUUAUCUCAAAGUAUGUGGUAUUUUUGGUAUAAUGCAUAGUGAUAUUACCUUCUCUCUCACCCUACUCUAAUAAGGUUUUGAUAUCUGGAGCUCAUAGGUGGGAGACAGCUAAUACAUACUUACAAGACAUUUAUUGCAUAGUCAAACCAUAGAUCCAGAGAAACAAGUCAAUAAGUCAAAUCAAGAUGUGCAUGUGUGGCGAAUGAAUGGUGUAUGGUGAUGAUGGUGAUAACAAUGGUUUAAAUCUAAUUCUGCUUUUGCUCUUUUUAGGGGAUACUUACCUUUCUUGCACUUUGAAGCUUUUUGAGGGGAAUGAGAUGCUCUAUAUUUUCUUUUUCUUUCUCUCUCAGGUGGGUAUCUUGUACCCCUAAUUCUACUGUCGGACACUUGUCCAUUUUUACCUCUCGUCUCACUUUUUCUUUUCUUCGAGGUUCCGGGCACUUGCCCCUUUUUAUUUCCUCGUAUAUAUUUCUCUCUCUUUUUUUCUCUUUCUCUUCUCUUUUUUUAGAGCACUCAUCUCCUGAAAUAAUGUAGCAAGUGGUAGUAACCAAAAUAACUGGAGCAUUUAUUUCACAUUGAAUAAUAGGGAUAGGAAAAUGUUUUUGGCUAUUCUCUCUCGGAUUAGGAGUAGAAUAAUUUUGGGUGAAUCUGGAGAUGGAAAUGAGUGGAUGUAUGUGGAUGCGUACUUCCGGAGUAGAAGCAGCAUAUACGAGUGAACGUGCAAGUGAAUCUUGAUUUUAACCACAUGACAAGCUCCUAAGGGUCUACACAGCUUGACCACACUCAAUGCUCAUAAGCAGUAAAAAGUAAAUGUGUGGCUCUGUUGGGUAUUUUAAACGCAAACAGAAAAAUCCGCAAGCACACGGAUACCGAUGUAGCUUUCACCAGGGAGUAUUCCAGAGUAUCGAUUUUCCACAGAGAACGUGAGUGUAGUCAUUAAGAUCCAAGAUCGCCCAAGGAUAACUAUAUAAUUAUUUUUGGUGGGAAGAGAGGAAGUUUCCUGAGAGUUCUCUAGAUGAUCUAAGAAUCAAGAAUUACUUCAAGAUUAUCUAUUUCGGGACAUCAGAACACUAACCACAGAAAGAGAUGAGAAGGG